GACGAACGCUGGCGGCGUGCUUAACACAUGCAAGUCGAGCGGUAAGGCCCUUUCGGGGGUACACGAGCGGCGAACGGGUGAGUAACACGUGGGUGACCUGCCCUCAGCUCUGGGAUAAGCCCGGGAAACUGGGUCUAAUACCGGAUAUGACUCCAUGACGCAUGUUGUGGGGUGGAAAGCCUUGUGCGGCUGAGGAUGGGCCCGCGGCCUAUCAGCUUGUUGGUGGGGUGAUGGCCCUACCAAGGCGACGACGGGUAGCCGGCCUGAGAGGGCGACCGGCCACACUGGGACUGAGACACGGCCCAGACUCCUACGGGAGGCAGCAGUGGGGAAUCUUGCGCAAUGGGCGAAAGCCUGACGCAGCGACGCCGCGUGAGGGAUGACGGCCU
rnacentral:rRNA from 1 species